AUGUCCCACUCGGACGGCGCGGCUCAUGCGCGCCGUGCAGGGUCCACCUGAGCUGUCCGCUACGUGUUGCUGCC
rnacentral:sRNA from 1 species